AGCAGCCGCGGUAAUUCCAGCUCCAAUAGCGUAUAUUAAAGUUGUUGCAGUUAAAAAGCUCGUAGUUGAAUUUCGGGAUCAAAUUGUUGGUCGUGCUUCGGUACGCACUGGCAUUAUUGGUUUCUACCUUCUGAAGAACCGCGAUGUCAUUAAUUUGGUGUCGUGGGGAAUCAGGACUGUUACUUUGAAAAAAUUAGAGUGUUUAAAGCAGGCGUACGCUUGAAUACAUUAGCAUGGAAUAAUGAAAUAGGACGUUUGAUUCUAUUUUGUUGGUUUCUAGGAUCGACGUAAUGAUUAAUAGGGAUAGUUGGGGGCAUUAGUAUUCAAUUGUCAGAGGUGAAAUUCUUGGAUUUAUUGAAGACUAACUACUGCGAAAGCAUUUGCCAAGGAUGUUUUCAUUAAUCAAGAACGAAAGUUAGGGGAUCGAAGACGAUCAGAUACCGUCGUAGUCUUAACCAUAAACUAUGCCGACUAGGGAUCGGAUGAUGUUAAUUUUAUAAUGACUCA
rnacentral:rRNA from 1 species